AGUGCCACAGAAAACAGACCGCCCCGCGUCAGCGGGGUAAGGGUGAAACGGUGGUGUAAGAGACCACCAGCGUCCCGGGUGACCGGGACGGCUCGGUAAACCCCACCUGGAGCAAGGCCAAAAGGCGCGCUGCUACGGCGCGCUGCGCAGGCGAUUGAGGGUGGCCCACCCGAUGCCUGCGGGUAGGCCGCUGGAGCCUGCCGGCAACGGCAGGCCGAGAUGGAUGACCGCCGGCCGGGACGCCGCAAGGCACCCGGUGCACAGAAUCCGGCUUACAGGCCAGCUCGUCCG
rnacentral:RNase_P_RNA from 1 species